AUACCUUUCUCGGCCUUUUGGCUAAGAUCAAGUGUAGUAUCUGUUCUUAUCAGUUUAAUAUCUGAUAUGUGGGCCAUGUGCCCACUUCGAUAUUAAAUUUAUUUUUUGUGGGGGAGGGCCCACCACAGUGGCUUGCCACUGGGCCCUCGCGUGUCGCCCAGGCGUUGCACUACAGUCCGGGCCUGGCGCACCCCAA
rnacentral:snRNA from 1 species